rnacentral:rRNA from 1 species
GUCUGAUGUGAAAGCCCACGGCUCAACCGUGGAGGGUCAUUGGAAACUGGAAAACUUGAGUGCAGAAGAGGAAAGUGGAAUUCCAUGUGUAGCGGUGAAAUGCGCAGAGAUAUGGAGGAACACCAGUGGCGAAGGCGACUUUCUGGUCUGUAACUGACGCUGAUGUGCGAAAGCGUGGGGAUCAAACAGGAUUAGAUACCCUGGUAGUCCACGCCGUAAACGAUGAGUGCUAAGUGUUAGGGGGUUUNCGCCCCUUAGUGCUGCAGCUAACGCAUUAAGCACUCCGCCUGGGGAGUACGACCGCAAGGUUGAAACUCAAAGGAAUUGACGGGGACCCGCACAAGCGGUGGAGCAUGUGGUUUAAUUCCAAGCAACGCGAAGAACCUUACCAAAUCUUGACAUCCUUUGACCCUUCUAGAGAUAGAAGUUUCCCCUUCGGGGGACAAAGUGACAGGUGGUGCAUGGU